rnacentral:lncRNA from 1 species
AGUGAGUCAGCCAUACAGGUAUACAUAUCCAUUCUUUUUCCCAUGUAUGUUACCGCAAACCACUGAGCAGAUUUCCCUGUGCUAUACAGGAGGUUCCUGUAGAUUACCUGUUCUACACAGUAAUGUGUAUAUGUUACUCCCAUCCUCUUAAUUCCUCCCUUCCUCCCAGCCCCUUUUGUGUAUCUGAACAAAUUUGGAUUUUGAGCUAUCCUUAUUUUUUCUGAAACAGACUUUAUUUUUGAAAAGCAAUAUAAUUUUAAAAUUAAGGGAGCUUUAUGGAGUUCCCAUCGUGGCGCAGAGGUGAUCGAAUCCGACUACAAACCAUGAAGUUGCGGUGUUCGAUCCCUGCCCUUGCUCAGUGGGUUAACAAUCCAGCAUUGCCGUGAGCUGUGGUGUAGGUUGCAGACGCGGCUUGGGUCCCGCGUUGCUGUAGCUCUGGCGUAGGUAGGGGGCUAGAGCUCCGAUUCGACCCCUAGCCUGGAAACCUCCAUACGCCGCAGGAGCGGCCCUAGAAAAGGCAAAAAAAAAAAAAAAAGGCAAAAAAUAAUAAUUAAGGGAGCUUUAGAGAUAAGCUGGCCAAAUCACUCCAUUUAAAAAUGUGAUUAAGGUCUAGAGAAAAAAGUGACUUGCCUAAACCCACAGAGCUAACUGAAGUUAAUCCAACACCACUAUUUAGAGUUUGAACUCCAGUGUAGUUAACGCCAAGCUAAUGCUGUUUUCAUGAAGCCACAAUAUUUUUAUUCCAUUAUAGUUUUAUGAAAGAAUGAGUCACUCAAUUUAUUUAUUCCUCCAAAUUUUUAUAGCACAAGUGUCACACAAGACAAGUUUUCUCCUUCAAAGAGCUUGCGGUUUAAUUAAAAAGAUAAGAUAUAUUUACUGAAACAACUAACAAAGUCAUGGCAUGUAAUUAUGUACAGAAAUGGUAACAUGUAGGUUAUAUCAUUACCAUUUUGCUGAUACUUGAAAUAGAAGAUGCAAGCACAUAUACAUACAUCAUGAACAAAAUUAGAGACUUUCUUAGAAAUUAACAGAUGGAAUAGGAAAAAUAUUUGACAGAAAAGGGAUUGAAUGACACCGCUGUAAAAGGAUAAAAGGAACAUUUUUGGAAGUUCCCUCCCUGGCUCAGCAGGUUAAGAACCCAACUAGUAUCCAUGAGGAUGCAGGUUCGAUCCCUGGCCUCACUCAGUGGGUUAAGGAUCUGGCAUUGUCGUGAGCUGUGGUGUAGGACACAGAUGCAGCUCAGAUCUGGUGUUGCUGCGGCUGUGGUGUAGGCUGGCAGCUAUAGCACCAAUUCAGCCCCUAGGCUGGGAACUGACAUAUGCCAUGUGUGGCCCAAAUAAAUAAGUAAAUAAAUAUUAAAAAUAAUAACAAGUGAACAUUUUCUGUCUAAUUUUCCACUGAAGCUCUAAGAUGGCAGCAAAUCACUCCCCACAACCCAAAGUAAGGUGCUAGACUGCACUGCCCAUAGAGGGCAUGAAGAAGGAAGACAUUUUUGGCAGCCUGUUUUAAACCUUUUCUCAAAUUUGAGAAUAUAUUAAUCGAAGGGACUAUGAGUUGAAAAGCAGAUGGAGUAUUUCUUUGGAAAUUUGUCAGGGUUGAUUUCCUCUUCUCUUAGCUUAAAAAGGGGGCUUCAGUAAGCUCUGCUGGAGAGUUCGUGAAACAUGUUCCCCAAAGCUUCUGUGACCCUAAGAUCUGGUACCUUAGAUAAGGACCAGGCAAAAAUCAAGAGACGAACUACAGUGGCCUCUGGAAGGAACUCUUAAGGAGAACUGGUGCUCCCAUGAGUGCAGUUAAAGUUGUCUAUCUCCUCCCCAGCACCUAGAUGUGGAACCUGUGCAGAAACACUAGCUUAUCCAGUUAAAAGAAAUUUUGCCCAAAAGAGAUUCUGCAAAAAUGAGACGUUCUCAGUAGAAAGAAACUGGAGAUGAGCCUUGUAUUACAGAAGCUGCAGUGCAGCCAUAAGCAGCCAGCAGAACCAGAGACAAGAUCUAAUCUGAGGGAGCUGUGGUCAGAGGGCCACAGACAGGAAUAUGCAUGAAACCCAUGCAAAUCACCACGGGAGAGAGCUUACACCUAUGCACAGCCCAAACGCACUCGUACCAGGUCUCAUAAAUGCCAAGCAGUGAGACCUUCCCUGCUUCUCACCUCUCCUUUCUCCUCUCCAGUCCAUUCCUCCAAUUCUGCUUUGCGAGCAGGUUAAGGGGUAAGAGGGCUCAUUGGGGAAAUUAAGAAAAGGAUAGGCCCUUCUCAUCCUACCAUGGGCUUCAGGUCUGAAGCAGAACAAACUGGUAGAGGAGACCUCUCAUUUGGGAAGAAUUUGCAGUGCUGGAAUUGCCACUGUAGCUCAGAGGAAACAAAACUGACUAGUAUCCAGAAGGAUGCGGGUUUGAUCCCUGGCCUUGCCCAGUGGGUCAUUCAUCUGGUGUUGUGAGCUGUGGUGCAGGUUGCAGACACAGCCCAGAUCCUGCAUUGCUGUGGCUGUGGGUAGGCUGGCAGCUGCAGCUCCGAUUUGCCCCCUGGCCUGGGAACCUCCAUAUGCUGUGGGUGCAGCCCUAAAAAGCAAAAAAGAACUUGCUGUGAUGAUUUAUACACUGAACUAUUUCCCGCAGUUACUGCAAUGAGACUUUCUAUCUACAAGUGACUGAGGCAUAUUUUUGGUGUAUGCGAAUAAUCAGAAAAAUCAUAUGGAUGAAAAUCCAAGAACUAGAAGAAAAAUGGCUGAUUGUAGAGAUUUAAAGAAACACUAAAGUGGGAGGAAAGAAUAAAUUUGCUUCCUGGCUUCUACCCAAAGUCCUGCUUAUUCGCCAUAAUGAUUAUAUGAUUACAAGUGAGAUAUGUGAAUGUUCAUAUAUAUUAAUCUUCUAUGUAAAAAUAAAGUGUUUUUCCUCUUUCCUGGGACACAAAUAUGCACACACAUACACACACAAGAUAACUAUAUAUUAGAGUACAAGAAAAAUUAAAAUAAAUGCACAAAAGCUAGAAUCACACAGAUCAUAUUCAAAGAAUUCAAAACAAUUCAGGAAGAAGGGAUAUACAUUUUUUUUAAAAUGAUGUUGUUCCCUGCAAAAAAAACCAUAAAAGGAAAUGAAAACAGUUCAAGAACUCUACUUGGAAAUUUUCAAACAUUCUUUAGAUAAAGUCUCACUCUGGAAAAUUUUUGUAACCAAUGGUCGUGCUGGUUCUAAAUAUGAAAUCUAUCUUUAUAUCUGCUGACAGAUUCGGGCCAAAUUUCAUGAGGGAUUGGGUAUGGAAGUUCACAAAACACUGCCCCUAAGACUUUUGCUUCCGGGGGCCUGAAACUUGGGUAGACGUUAACAGGGGGCUGUGAGAAUUGGCAUAAGAGGCAAACAGGCAUGACCCCUAGGGGAAGGGAGGGUGCCCUUGUUACAGAGCAGAGAACCAGAAGUGAGCUUUGUCUUUAGAAAUAAGAGGGAAUGGCUCGGUUUAAGUUUUAGCCCUUUCGCUGUCACUAAAGUCUGCAGCAAACACUGAUAGUCUAAGAGACAAGAGCUUGUCCUUGGAAGAAGGUCUAGUGGGACAGAGAGAUGUGUUGGUUAAUUGAUGUUUUGCCUGUGCUAAUACAUAAAUACAUUUAUACAGCCAGUCAGUUUUUCUCUUCUCAUUUGUAACAUACUUUCUCCUUCAUCAAACAUAUUCUACAAGAACUGCUGAGUCACUUUUUCCAUGAAAAGUAAAAACUGUUUCUCAUCAGGCACAUUUUGUAUUCUAACUUACCCCAAAAGCCACAGUUUACAGAAACAGAUAUGGUGUGAUCAGGAGCAAAAUUUGCAUUGAUAUUCACAGGUACACUGCUAAACAGAGUACUGUCCACAUACACAAAAAUCUAAACCUAGUUUUUCAGAUUUUCUCUGGGUUUCACGACUCUUUCUUACUGCUCUGAAAUGCAAAUACUUUGCAUGUAGUCCUUAAAAUUAAUAUUAUAAAAUUUUUUAUGUUUUCAACUAGGACAUAUAUAACAUCUAUUAACUUAGAAAUAUUUAAAAACACACUCGUAAGACAGAGAUGGUGGAUUACACAAGAGCAAGCAACCCUCAGUCUGGGAUUAAACUUUCAAUAAAAAUGCUAUUGGUGGGAGAGAGGUUUAUGGGAACUCUGUACUUUCUAUUCAGUUUAUCUGUGAACCUGAAACUGCUCUUCAAAUUUACGUCUGUUAAAAAUACAUUAAAAUGCUAUUUGGAAUUGGAAGUCAAAUCUCAUGUCAGAUAAUUAAGCGUAUUCUCUAAUUGGUGGACGACCAUUACUGCUCACUGAUUACCUGAGAGAAGCAGCACGAGUAGUAUAUUUAAAGGGUACAGCUCUCAGGUGAGUAAGGUAAAAAUAGGUUAUAUAUUUUGAUUCCAAAAGAUGCAUUAAAUCAGCAAGCAUAUAUAAAGGUCACAAAGAACAUUGAAAGACAUCAUCAUUCCUUCAGUAGAGCUAGUGCCUUCUUAAUAAAUGGUAUGAGCUGAAAUUUAUAGAGUACUUACUCUGAGAUAAGUAGAAUUAUUAUGCCUAUUUUCCCAUGGAGGGAGGGAAGGCUUAGAAAAAGGGUAAGUGAGUGAACCAUCUAAGACCACACAAGGAGGUAAUCUUACAGCCUGGACUCAAAUCCACCAUCUGUCUUCAAGGACUGAAAUCUUAAGGCCUGCAGAUGUACUCUAUCCUUGACAAAUCACACAUGUUGAAAAAGAUAUCUGUGACGAGUUUUAAAUGAUAAUUGGCCAUGAUAAUUGGCUCAUCUUACUACUGAUAACUUUUAUUAAUUAAAAAAUGUUGUUAAUAGAUGCAAACUAUCGCCUCUGGAAUGGAUAAGCAAUAAGAUCCUGCUGUAUAGCAGUGGGAACUAUACCUAGUCACUUAUGAUGGAGCAUGAUGGAGGAGAAUGUGAAAAAAAGAAUGUAUCUAUAAUUGGUGACUGGGUAUCUUUGCUGUACUGUAGAAAAUUGACAGAACACUGCUAUAAAAACCAGCUAUAAUGGAAAAAAUAAAAAUCAUUUAAAAAUGUUAUUGUGCUAGCUCAUUCCAAUGAAUUCUCUAUAAAUAAUUUCAAAGUCAAUAAUAUAACUUCAAACACAACAAAUAUUUACAGACAGAAUUUUCCAACAGCAAUACCUAUGGCUUUUUUUUUUUUUGCUUUUAAAGUCUCUUUGGACAGUAAAUGAAGAUGAGACAGCGCUUCUUGCCUCCUUGCCAGGUAAUAUAUAAACUUAAUCAAAAGGAGGCAGCCAGAGUCCAGCAAAAUGGUUAUGGGGGGGGGGGUGGUUCGUGUGUGUGUGUGUGUGCACGCACGUGUGUGCACAUGCUUUUUAGGGCCACACCCUCAGCAUAUGGAGGUUCCCAGGUUAGGGGUCUAAUAGGAGCUACAGCUGACAGCCUACACCACAGCCGCAGCAACAUCAGAUCCCAGCCACGUCUGCGACCUACAUACACCACAGCUCACGGCAAUGCUGGAUCCUUAACCCACUGAGCAAGGCCAGGAAUAGAACCCUCAACUUCAUCGGUGCUAGUCAGAUGCCUUUCCACUGAGCCAUGAUGGGAACUCUAAAAAAAUGUCUAUUAAAGUAUAUUCAGUUCCACUGAGUUUAAUCAUUGAAGAGGAUUUUAUUUUUACUUCAGAACAUAUAGAACCUUGAUCUAAGGAAACCUGUACUCUGCAAAUCAAGAUUCUUUUUAAACUACUUCUUCAGCAAAUCGGUAAAAUGAUAUGGGAGAGAAUAAAGAAAAAGUAUAUUUAUGCUGCUGAAAUUGUAAAACAGGAUGGGUAGCUAAGACAGGGCUGCAAUAUCAGCUGCAUCUGCACAUAUUCCAAGAAGUGGACAGUCAAAUCUAUUACACAGAUAAGCCAAGCUAAAAUACUACUUUCCCUUCAAUUAUAUGGAUAUUUCAAACAAUAUACCUUCCUUGGCUUACAAAUUUCAGCGAUUGCUGACCUCUACCUCUUUAGAGCCCUUUUACAGUCUUCUUUUUGAAGAAAUUUAAAUGAGGAAAAAAUUCAAAAUUCAUAGAAAAAAAUAUAAUGGUAUAUAGAAUAUCCACUAUACCAGCCUGUGUCGGUGACUGCUUGCAGUUCAACACCUAAUCUUGCAAUGAUACAAGUUUCUGCAACAGUAGCUUCAAUAGAAGCUGAUUCCACAUAAGAGCUGGAAAGAGUGAACAUUGCACAUGGUUGCAGAGAGCAGGACCUGGAUUUAGAAGGACUAUGUAAGCUUCAACAGUGCUUGGCCAGGCCUCAGGAAAUCUUCAUGCACUGAAAGGAAGGCAGACCAAGAGUGAAAAUGCUGAGUGCAAUGAAAAAGAUCUAAUAAUACAGUGGACACGAAAAAGAAAAAACUUUCUGGAGUUCCGGUUGUGGUGCAGCAAAAACAAAUCCAACUAGCAUCCAUGCAGAUGAAGGAUCAAUCCCUGGCCUUGCUCAGUAGGUCAUCCAUGGGGAUGAGGGAUCAAUCCCUGGCCUUGCCAUGAACUGUGGUGCAGGUCCAAGACAUGGCUCCGAUCCUGCAUUGCUGUGGCUGUGGCAUAGGCUGGCAGCUGCAGCUUUGAUUCGACCCCUAACCUGGAAACUUCCUUAUACCCAUAUGCCGCGGGUGUGGCACCACCACCCCCCCAAAAAAAAGAAAGAAAGAAAAAAA